rnacentral:rRNA from 1 species
AAUCUUGCACAAUGGAGGGAACUCUGAUGCAGCGACGUCGCGUGAACGAUGAAGGCUUUCGAGUCGUAAAGUUCUGUCCUAUGGGACGAUAAUGACGGUACCAUAGGAGGAAGCCCCGGCUAACUACGUGCCAGCAGCCGCGGUAAUACGUAGGGGGCGAACGUUGUCCGGAAUUAUUGGGCGUAAAGGGUACGCAGGCGGCCAGAUAAGUCAGAUGUGAAAGACCACGGCUUAACCGUGGGGUUGCAUUUGAAACUGGAGGGCUUGAGUAUCGGAGAGGGUAGUGGAAUUCCCAGUGUAGCGGUGGAAUGCGUAGAUAUUGGGAGGAACACCAGUGGCGAAGGCGACUACCUGGACGAAAACUGACGCUGAGGCACGAAAGCUAGGGGAGCAAACA